rnacentral:rRNA from 1 species
UCGAGAAUCUUCCGCAAUGGGCGCAAGCCUGACGGAGCGACGCCGCGUGGAGGAAGAAGGCCUUCGGGUUGUAAACUCCUGUCACGACUUACGAAUCCGGGCGGGGUAACAUCCGUCCGUUGACGAAGGGUCGGAAGGAAGCCACAGCUAACUUCGUGCCAGCAGCUGCGGUAAGACGAAGGUGGCAAGCGUUGUUCGGAUUCACUGGGCAUAAAGGGCGCGUAGGCGGUUCCGAAGGUGGCGCGUGAAAUCCCCCGGCUCAACCGGGGAACGGCGCGCCAAACCGCGGUUCUCGAGGGCGGUAGGGGGGACUGGAACUCUUGGUGGAGCGGUGAAAUGCGUAGAUAUCAAGAGGAACACCGGUGGCGAAGGCGAGUCCCUGGUCCGCAUCUGACGCUGAGGCGCGAAAGCGUGGGUAGCAAACAGGAUUAGAUACCCCUGUAGUCC